GUGAAUGGGCUGCGGAGGUUGAUUAGUUUGGCCUUGCAGUAUACGGAAGUGGCUUGUUGGUUUCGCUUUGUCCCGGGCGAGAACGAGCUUCCAGACAGGAGCCGAGAAACCCCACACCUCCUACCCAAGCCCCACCCCCACGGGAUGUUGAAGAAGAACAAUCGGAGGAAAGAGAAAGUGGCACCACAACAGGAGCUUUGAUGGCUGGGGACAGCUUGGAUACACACAGGGCCCAGCUGCUAAUUGGCGAGGUGAUUGCCUGCUGUGCUUACAUGGAAGACAUCAACACAAGUUUGGGGCAGAUAAGGAAAAAGCAAAAAAAGGUGGAGCAACGACUCAAAUAUGUGAUUGAUGUUCUGGGGAGGGUAUAAAAAAAUAUAUAUAUAUAUUUUAUACUUUUAAGUUUG